rnacentral:rRNA from 1 species
AACGAACGCUGGCGGCAGGCUUAACACAUGCAAGUCGAGCGCCCCGCAAGGGGAGCGGCAGACGGGUGAGUAACGCGUGGGAACGUACCCUUUGCUACGGAAUAGCUCCGGGAAACUGGAAUUAAUACCGUAUGUGCCCUACGGGGGAAAGAUUUAUCGGCAAAGGAUCGGCCCGCGUUGGAUUAGCUAGUUGGUGGGGUAAUGGCCUACCAAGGCGACGAUCCAUAGCUGGUCUGAGAGGAUGAUCAGCCACAUUGGGACGGAGACACGGCCCAAACUCCUACGGGAGGCAGCAGUGGGGAAUAUUGGACAAUGGGCGAAAGCCUGAUCCAGCCAUGCCGCGUGAGUGAUGAGGGCCUUAGGGUUGUAAAGCUCUUUCACCGGAGAAGAUAAUGACGGUAUCCGGAGAAGAAGCCCCGGCUAACUUCGUGCCAGCAGCCGCCGUAAAAC